UGGUGGAGUGAUUUGUCUGGUUAAUUCCGUUAACGAACGAGACCUCGACCUGCUAAAUAGUUGGCCGAACCUUUGGUUCGUGUGUGACUUCUUAGAGGGACUAUCGGUGUGUAGCCGGUGGAAGUUCGAGGCAAUAACA
rnacentral:rRNA from 1 species